CAUGCAGGAGGGUGCACACACACACACACACUCCAUGCUAAUUUUAUACUUAUUUAUAUUCAUUUUCCUUGUUAAUUAAAAGGUAUUUUAAGUGAUAACAGUUGGGAGGGUUGAAGAAAGAAUGAGACUUACUUAAGCAUUCUGAAAAUUAUUUGGACAUAAAACUAUUAAUUAUAGAAACAAGAAGACACUCUUCCAGGGAUGAACAGAUGACCCGGGCUGUAAAGUGCUUGCCACACAAGCAUGGAGAGCUGAAUUUGGAUCCUCAGCAGCCCAUGUAAAUGCCAGCAUGGCUGUAUGUACUUGUCAUCCCAGCACUGAAGAGGUGGAGAAAAUGGCUUCUUCUCUUCUGAAAACAAGACCUGUGAAGAACCAUCUGCCUACAUCCCAUCAGUGUGUCCUGAUGCUCAGGACAUGAAGGAAAGGGCCCAUGCUUCCCACGUGGUUCUUCUAAUGAGAAAUUAAUUCAGACUGCAAACUUCCUGCCACAAAAUACAGCACCCUUCCACAUACAACAAAAGACUGACCCCAAUGGCCAUUCAAAUCUUACUUAGAUUUCUUCCAUUGAACAAAAUGGCAAGCUUUUUUAUCUUUAAAAUACAACCUUACAGGUGCUCGGAAUGGACACUAUUCAGAGAUUGUAAUAUAAUGCAAACUUCUCAUUUUUAGGUAGAAAACUUUAGUCAGAGGAAUUAACUGAUAACUGUGUUUUAGCUAUAUACAGAGUCAAGAUCUCAGGGUCUUUUGUGUUUACUUCAAAACCUGUCAUACUAAAAAUGCAAAGAGAAUACAGACAGCUGUGGGUAGGGAGAGCUGGUGGGUACUCCAUAGUGUAUUUUCACAUUUGGAGGGGUGGUCUUUUAGGAAAUUAACAAGCUAAUUUGGACAGUUAUAUUACCAUUUGUUUGUGAUGAAAAUGAAUGUCAGGAUGAUCCAUCACAAAGCAAACUUUACUUUUACUUCAGAGAACCGUACAUCCACAGGGAAAUAUGUAGAACACUUUUCAGUUUUCCCAGGACCCUUACUUCAGGCUAAUAAGGAAGAGUAGAGGAAACACACGUUCCCAGCAUGAGGCUGCACUGCAUGCUAUUAUACAGAGAUCUCUCAAUGUACACAUCUUAAAUGCAGUACAAUGACUUUGAGCAUGUGAGAUCUCCCUUUACUUGCUCUUCUCCAUCAGUAGCUUUUCCUUAAUGAGAAAGAAGCAAAAAUAUCCAGUCACACAAUGUAGUAAAACUAUAUUUGUUCUUGGGGAUGCAUAGAAAUACUUGUAUAUUCUGCUCAAUUUAAUAUUUCAAGUAAAAGGUCACCAUUUGGUAAGUACAUGUUCCUAGAAGCUUGUCCUUGAGUAUGAUAGAAAACAAUGCAACAGACAAUAAGCACGGUUUUGAAAAUAUUGAAUUUUGAAACAUCUGAUCCAUUCAUGGCCCAGGCUACAUGAUAAAGUAAAUGAAUUAGUUAGUGGUACCUUCUCCUG